CCUACGGGAGGCAGCAGUGAGGAAUAUUGGACAAUGGGCGCAAGCCUGAUCCAGCCAUGCCGCGUGCAGGAAGAAGCAUCUAUGGUGUGUAAACUGCUUUUGUACAGGAAGAAACACUCCCUCGUGAGGGAGCUUGACGGUACUGUAAGAAUAAGGACCGGCUAACUCCGUGCCAGCAGCCGCGGUAAUACGGAGGGUCCGAGCGUUAUCCGGAAUCAUUGGGUUUAAAGGGUCCGUAGGCGGUUUAAUAAGUCAGUGGUGAAAUCUGGUCGCUCAACGAUCAAACGGCCAUUGAUACUGUUAGACUUGAAUUAUAAGGAAGUAACUAGAAUAUGUAGUGUAGCGGUGAAAUGCUUAGAUAUUACAUGGAAUACCAAUUGCGAAGGCAGGUUACUACUUAUGGAUUGACGCUGAUGGACGAAAGCGUGGGGAGCGAACAGGAUUAGAUACCCUGGUAGUCCACGCCGUAAACGAUGGAUACUAGCUGUUCGGAGCAAUCUGAGUGGCUAAGCGAAAGUGAUAAGUAUCCCACCUGGGGAGUACGUUGCAAGAUGAAACUCAAAGGAAUUGACGG
rnacentral:rRNA from 1 species